UCACAGGCCCCCUCGGUGAACAGUGAGGAGGAUGAGUGAUGUGACUGGGGGACAUGCAACCGAGUGGUCAAGCUAUGCUGCAAGCCAGGACCUGUUUGAGACUCUGCUGCAGUCCAGUCAGUCCUAGCAGUCGAGCAUGGACAAGCCUGAUGCAGGGAAGGAAUCUUGGCUGCUGCCAUAGUGACCUUGAAGCGUUCCCCCACCGGGCCUGUGGAGCGCCUGAGCCAGGUGGGGAGAAGAAAGAAGAGGAUUGGGAUGACCUCUUCAGCGAGAUCCUGCAAGUCAGUGCUGCAUCAGGCUGUGAGCAGAGAGCCUGGAGGUUUGGCCAGCGUGGCGAGCUCAGAGGUGACCGUGCAGAUCUCCUCAGCAGAGGUGACCAUGGAGUCCCAGAAUCACAAAAUCCAGCAUGGACCGAAUGGGAGGUACUGGAUCUGAUAGCUGUGUGGGGAGAGGAAUCCGUCCUAUCAGAACUCCACUCCACUCCACCCCAGAGGACUGCCCAGGCAACAGGAAGCUGGCAUUCAAUAAGUUUUGAAGUGCAG